rnacentral:sRNA from 1 species
AUAAUGCAAGUCGUGCGGAACCUUCGGGUUUAGCGGCGGACGGGUGAGUCCCACGUGGGCAAUCUGCCCGACAGACCGGGAUAACGCUUGGAAACGAGUGCUAAUACCGGAUACGCUUUUGAGGCGCAUGCCUCGAAAGGGAAAGCUGCUUUUGCAGCACUGUCGGAUGAGCCCGCGGCGCAUUAGCUAGUUGGUGAGGUAACGGCUCACCAAGGCGACGAUGCGUAGCCGACCUGAGAGGGUGGCCGGCCACACUGGGACUGAGACACGGCCCAGACUCCUACGGGAGGCAGCAGUGGG